GGCCUACAGUUCAGUGGUUGAACAUCUGCACUGCAUGCAGAAGGUUUCAGGUUCAAUUUGUGGUAUCCCUGUCCCAGGUAGGACA